rnacentral:tRNA from 1 species
GCGGGGGUGGCGGAACCGGCAGACGCAACAGCCUUGGAAGCUGCUGGACGCAAGUCCGUGCGGGUUCAAAUCCCGUCCCCCGCA